rnacentral:rRNA from 1 species
UAGGGAAUCUUCCGCAAUGGACGCAAGUCUGACGGAGCAACGCCGCGUGAGUGAAGAAGGAUUUCGGUUCGUAAAACUCUGUUGUUAGAGAAGAACAGCGCAUAGAGUAACUGUUAUGCGUGUGACGGUAUCUAACCAGAAAGCCACGGCUAACUACGUGCCAGCAGCCGCGGUAAUACGUAGGUGGCAAGCGUUGUCCGGAUUUAUUGGGCGUAAAGCGAGCGCAGGCGGUCAAUUAAGUCUGAUGUGAAAGCCCCCGGCUCAACCGGGGAGGGGCAUUGGAAACUGGUUGACUUGAGUGCAGAAGAGGAGAGUGGGAGUCCAUGUGUAGCGGUGAAAUGCGUAGAUAUAUGGAGGAACACCAGUGGCGAAGGCGACUCUCUGGUCUGUAACUGACGCUGAGGCUCGAAAGCGUGGGUAGCAAACAGG